GAGGGGUGGCGACGUUAUUCCUGGAAUUUAUUGGGUGUAAAGGGCAGGUAGGUGUUUCAUCAAGUUAGAAGUGAAAUCCUAAGCUUAACCUUAAACUGCUUCUAAAACUGGUGGAAUUGAGAUGGAAGAGGAAGCGGAAUUCCCGGUGUAAGGGUGAAAUCUGUAGAUAUCGGGAGGAACGCCAGUGGCGAAGCGGCUCUCUGGUCUAUCCCUGACACUGAACUGCGAAAGCUAGGGGAACAAACAGGAUUAUAUACCCUGGUAGUCCACGCCGUAACAUUGGGUGCUAGUGUCGCGGGUAUUGACCCCUGCGGUGCCGCCGCUAAGCAUUAAACACCCCGCCUGGGGAGUACGGUCCGCAAGAUUA
rnacentral:rRNA from 1 species